rnacentral:rRNA from 1 species
UACGAAGGGGGCUAGCGUUGCUCGGAAUCACUGGGCGUAAAGCGUGCGCAGGCGGUUUUGUAAGUUUGUCGUGAAAGCCCCGGGCUCAACCUGGGAAUUGCGAUGAAGACUGCAAGGCUUGAAUCUGGCAGAGGGGGGUAGAAUUCCACGUGUAGCAGUGAAAUGCGUAGAGAUGUGGAGGAACACCGAUGGCGAAGGCAGCCCCCUGGGUCAAGAUUGACGCUCAUGCACGAAAGCGUGGGGAGCAAACAGG